AUGCCUGUCAUGGGCAGCCGCGCCCUCUGCUAUGUGGCCCUGUGUCUCUUGGGAACAGGACCCGCACACGCUGAAAUCUACCAGACCCCCGCGUUCCUGCUCAGCAGGGCUGGACGGGAUGUGACCCUGGAGUGUAAACAGAACUUGCAAUUCAGUGCCAUGUACUGGUACCGGCAGGCCCCGGGGCAAGGUCUGAGACUGAUUUACUACUCAACGGUUGAAAAAGAUAUCCAGAAGGGAGACAUAACUGAAGGCUACGGUGUUUCUCGAGAGGAGAAAGGGCUGUCUCCUCUCACUGUGAAGCUGGCACACACCAGCCAAACAGGCUUGUACCUCUGUUCUGGAAGCGCACCACGGUGGAGCACGGCCACCGGCCACCUGCACGGAAACCGGCUCCAACCCUGUGGUCCCACGGUUGCCGUCGUUCUAAAAUCCUCCUCUGCCGAGUAG